AGCUAACCCUUUGACUGACAUGUCGUUCUUUUUAACUGGAUUGAAACAUCCGCCUAUUGCAGAAGUAGCAGCCUAAAACAGAGCACACCUAAAAUUAUCUGGGGCUUUGACAACACCACAACUGUCUCUGGACAAUGAAACUGAAGCAUAGGACCAAACUUCUAACCAGGCUUUGGGUCCAAGCUUUUCCUCUGGGUCCUGCCCCAUACCUGGAGGUAUCUUCUACGACUCAACAAUCAGCAGCUGAACUGCUCUUCUGCAAGUUCACUUACUCCCAUUUAACCCCUCAGAACGUCCCUUGUGGUAUGCAUAUAAAAAUGGAUUUCUGGGGCUUCCCUGGUGGCGCAGUGGUUAAGAAUCCGCCUGCCAAUGCAGGGGACACGGGUUUGAGCCCUGGUCCGGGAAGAUCCCACGUGCCGCGGAGCAGCUAAGCCCGUGCGCCACAACUACUGAGCCCACGUGCCACAACUACCGAAGCCCAUGCACCUAGAGCCCAUGCUCCGCAACAAGAGAAGCCACCGCAAUGAGAAGCCCGCACACCGCAACGAAGAGCAGCCCCCACUCGCCGCAACUAGAGAAA